GUCGCCCCCGUGUCCCGUGCCCUCCCCCGCCGGCCGUUGCCAGGAGACGCCAUGGCGGAGCGGGGCCUGGCGGCGCUGCCGCUGCCGCAGCUCCGGGCGCAGCUCCGGGAAGCGCGCUACGCCAAUGCCCUGCUCCGAACUGAGGUGGAAAUGUUUGAGAAAUGGUACUGCAAGAUGGAGCCCUCCGGCCCCUUGCUCCCGCUGCUGACGGAGGCGCCCGAUGCCCCACCGGAGCUGACGCAGACACGUGGCAGGUACAAAUCCAAGUUGCAUGGGGCGACGGACUAUUUUGUAGGCCUGACAGCGGAGCAGAAAUGUGAGCUGGCUGAGCGGGAGCUGGCUGAGAUGAAGGAUGAGAUUCAGAGGCUGAAGGACGACUCGGAGCAGACCUUGCAGGACCUGGAGGCAGUCAUAGAAGAAGCAGAUGUUUGGUGGGCUGAUGUUAAGAAAGCCAUCAGUGACUUUGAGAAAGACAUCAUCAGCACCAUCUCCAGCAAGAAAGGGAGUAUCAUAGCUUCUGAGAAGCUGCUGAGAUACAUGGAGGAGAAGAACCGCCAGAGGGAUCUGCUGAGAGAGAAGUUGUGCUUGAAAAAUUAUUUGCUCAAGGGUUACAAGAAGAAGCUGCAGCAGCAGCUCAGGCAGGGUUUGCAGAAGGAGCAGAUGGGAGAGACACUCUGUGAGGUCCGUUUGCAGCAGCUGCAGGUUAGAAAUGCCCAGUACCAGGAGAAGAUUGAUGAGAAGAACCAGGAGCUGCUGCAGCUAAAACUAACCUCAGGGAAGACUGUCCAAGUCCUCAACUUCUAUAAAAGGAAGCUGCAGGAUGCCAUGGAAAUGUCCACAUCUCUGAUGAAGGACAUCUCCCAGAGGAAGGAACUGCUGGGGAAAAUUGAAAGAGAAGCUGCUCUGGUGGAGGAGCAACGAGCUGAAGCUGAGAGCGUGAACUGGCAGCUGCGGAAGCAGCUCUCAGACUACAGCGUCCCCUCUGUGCUGAGUUACGUGCAGAAGAAGGUGGCUGUUACUGACCUCAAAAACAGCCUCAAGGCUUGGGAGAGGAAGGCGGCAGUUGCCGAGAUGACCUUGCAAAGCUACCGCAGAGCAUGGAACCAGGUCAAGAUGUCUGGUAACCAGCAGUAGGCUUCUCCGAUGCUGCAAGGCAGGCAGUGGAAGCUGCAGAAGGAGCCAGCCCUGUGGGGAUGUUUGCUGUCGAGUGGGGGUCAAAGACAACCUGAAUGAGACCAGAUGCUGGUGGAACCGUGACCAACCCAUGUCCUUGACCCAUGGGCUGUUUGUCAGCCAGCUUGGUGACACUGGUCCCUUCCCACUUUGCACGUCUCAGAGGAGGUCAGCACUGCCAGAGACGCAUGACCCCCAUGGCAGCUCUCACGGGCAGCACAGGACCCUCGCUCAGGCCAGAUGAGCCUCUCUGUUUUCCCAAAUGACCAGCUGCCUCC